AGAAUGAACGUUGGCGGCGUGGAUUAGGCAUGCAAGUCGAACGGGCCGCAAGGCCAGUGGCGCAAGGGUGAGUAAGGCGACGGUAACCAACCCCGCGGGUGGGCAUAGCCGAGGGAAACCUCGGGUAAUUCCCAGCGAUGCAGGGGAUCGGCAUCGAUCCUCUGCCAAAGAUUUAUCGCCGUGGGACGGGCCGUUGUGGUAUUAGCUUGUUGGCGGGGUGACGGCCCACCAAGGCUUCGAUGCCUACCGGGCGUGCGAGCGUGGCCCGGCACACUGGGACUGAGACACUGCCCAGACUCCUACGGGAGGCUGCAGUCGAGAAUCUUCGGCAAUGGGCGCAAGCCUGACCGAGCGACGCCGCGUGGAGGAUGAAGGCCUUCGGGUUGUAAACUCCUGUCGAGGGGAGGAAGCCGCAAGGUUGACCGAUCCCGUGGAGGAAGCGACGGGCUAAGUUCGCGCCAGCAGCCGC
rnacentral:rRNA from 1 species